CCCUUGUUAGUUUAGUGCUACCCCACCUAGUAUUGUGGUUAUAACACUCAGCUAGUAAUCGAGUGGGCUCGGGUUUGAAUCCUGAAUGAGGCA